rnacentral:rRNA from 1 species
GACGAACGCUGGCGGCGUGCUUAACACAUGCAAGUCGAACGGAAAGGCCCUGCUUUUGUGGGGUGCUCGAGUGGCGAACGGGUGAGUAACACGUGAGUAACCUGCCCUUGACUUUGGGAUAACUUCAGGAAACUGGGGCUAAUACCGGAUAGGAGCUCCUGCUGCAUGGUGGGGGUUGGAAAGUUUCGGCGGUUGGGGAUGGACUCGCGGCUUAUCAGCUUGUUGGUGGGGUAGUGGCUUACCAAGGCUUUGACGGGUAGCCGGCCUGAGAGGGUGACCGGCCACAUUGGGACUGAGAUACGGCCCAGACUCCUACGGGAGGCAGCAGUGGGGAAUAUUGCACAAUGGGCGGGAGCCUGAUGCAGCAACGCCGCGUGCGGGAUGACGGCCUUCGGGUUGUAAACCGCUUUCGCCUGUGACGAAGAGUGAGUGACGGUAAUGGGUAAAGAAGCACCGGCUAACUACGUG